rnacentral:rRNA from 1 species
UACGUAGGCAGCAAGCGUUGUUCGGAAUUACUGGGCGUAAAGAGUGUGUAGGCGGUGCUCUAAGUCUGUUGUGAAAUCUCCCGGCUUAACCGGGGAACUGCGUCUGAUACUGGAUGGCUUGAGUUUGGGAGAGGGAUGCGGAAUUCCAGGUGUAGCGGUGAAAUGCGUAGAUAUCUGGAGGAACACCGGUGGCGAAGGCGGCAUCCUGGACCAACACUGACACUGAUGAGCGAAAGCCAGGGGAGCAAACGGG